rnacentral:rRNA from 1 species
AGGACGAACGCUGGCGGCGUGCUUAACACAUGCAAGUCGAGCGAUGAAGCUUCUCGGAAGUGGAUUAGCGGCGGACGGGUGAGUAACACGUGGGUAACCUGCCUCAUAGAGGGGAAUAGCCUUCCGAAAGGAAGAUUAAUACCGCAUAAGAUUGUAAUAUUGCAUGAUAUAGCAAUUAAAGGAGUAAUCCGCUAUGAGAUGGACCCGCGUCGCAUUAGCUAGUUGGUGAGGUAACGGCUCACCAAGGCGACGAUGCGUAGCCGACCUGAGAGGGUGAUCGGCCACAUUGGGACUGAGACACGGCCCAGACUCCUACGGGAGGCAGCAGUGGGGAAUAUUGCACAAUGGGGGAAACCCUGAUGCAAGCAACGCCGCGUGAGUGAUGACGGUCUUCGGAUUGUAAAGCUCUGUCUUCAGGGACGAUAAUGACGGUACCUGAGGAGGAAGCCACGGCUAACUACGUGCCAGCCGCGGC